UCCGAAAGGAGAGCGUGGUGUCUGGAGGUGAUCGGAAGGGACUGGCUGGAGUGUGGCGGGCUGACAGGUCUGAGGCCUGAAGGACUUCCGGGAACCGCAAAGCACGGUGUGCCUCCGCUGUCCUGAAGAAAAAGCCGCGCGCGGACGACUGGCCGGCCCGCGCUUGCAGCUCCCAGAAGUUGACAGGCAUCCUCCGGUGACCGGUGUGAGUAUGGCAUCAGGAUGAUUUGACUGCAAGCAACAGAAAAAUCAAACAAAAAUGGCCUAAGCCAAGAAGAGAAAUGAUUAUUUCACAUUCCAAGAAGUUUGGGAGUCGAGUGGUUAAACGGCUAAUUAAUCUAGAGCUCAACAGUAUCACCCAGGACCCAUUUUCACUAUGGUGGCUAAAGCUCUGCACCCUUCAGGCUUGCACCAUGGCAGCAGCAGUGACAGUAAAGACACCCUUACACCACAAUGCUCCAUGACCAGGGAGAGGGUCUCCUCUCUCCUGCCCCUUUCUGGAGGCUCCACCGAAGAUUUCUCUUCACAUUCCGUUUCUCAUUCCUGAAGCAGUUGCUGGCAACAGGGAUGGACUUACCGCAAUGGGUACAGAGCAACUAAGAUUCACCACUAGUGAACCAUUUAGGGAUGGCCACGUGACUCAGUUCUGGUCACCAAGGUGGUGGAAGAGAAGUUCUCUUGAGGGGCAUCUGGGAAAGAUUCUUCUGCCUGAUAAAACAGGAGGCAGCACUUUAUGGCUUCUCUUGGGCAUAUCCAAAUUGCUACCAUCACUACUCGUAUUAGUCCAUUUUCACGCUGCUGAUAAAGACAUACCUGAGACUGAGAAAUUUACCAAAUAAAGAGGUGUACUGGACUUACAGUUCCACAUGGCUGGGGAGGCCUCACAAUCAUGGUGGAAGGCAAGAAGGAGCAAGUCAUGUCUUACAUGGAUGGCAGCUGGCAAAGAGAAAGCUUGUACAGGGAGACUCCCGUUUUGAAAACCAUCAGAUCUUGUGAGACUCAUUCACUAUUACAAGAACAGUGCAGGAAAGAUGCACCCCUGUACUUCAAUCACCUCCCAGCAGGUUCCUCCCACGACAUGUGGGAAUUGUGGGAGUUACAAUUCAAGAUGAGAUUUGGUUGGGGACACAGCCAAACCAUAUCACUACUCUUGUGCUUUGGGGCCAUUAUGAAGUAAAACAAGCAUUAUUUGAACACAAGAACUGCAAUACCACCACAGUAGAUCUGAUAACUGUUGGCUACUAAGUGACUAAGGGGCAGGUGAAGUAUACAGCUUGGAUGCGAUGGACAAAGAGGAAGAUCUACCUCCCAGCUGGGAUGGAGCAGGACGAUGCAAGAUUUCAUCACACUACUCAGAAAGGCAUGCAGUUUAAAGCUCGUAAAUUAUUUCAGGAAUUUUCCAUUUAAUAUUUUCAGGCUGUGGCUGACCGUGAGUAACAAACCCAGGAAAGCGAAACUGCAGAACAGUGGAUGGGAGAAAGGGUGAAUUACUGUAUAUUCAUGAGGGAUAUUAGUCCAUAGUUUCUUUUUUCCCUUUUAACAAAUUUUUGGGUUUUGUAUAUAGUUUGUCUGGUUUUGGUAUCAGGGUAAUACUAGCUUCAUAAAAUGAAUUGGAAAGCGUUUCUUCUGUUUUCCUAAAAAGAUUAUAUGGAAUUAGCAUUCAUUCUUUAAACACUUGGUAGAAAUCUUAAGUAAAACCAUCUGAGCUCGGAGAUUUUUUUGUGUGUGUUAUAAAAUUACAUAUUCAGUUUCCUUAAUAUUUAUAAGAUCAUUUUAAUUAUCUGUGUUUUUCAGUGAAACGGGUCAAUUUUCUGUAUGUUGUCAAAUUAAUAUUUGUAGAAUUGUAUUAGUAUUCUUCAUUAUCCUUUUGAUGUCUGCAGAAUCUGUAAUGGUAUCCCUGUUUUAUUUCUGAUAUUAAUUUGUGCCAUUAUGUCUUUUUUUCUUUGUUGAUCUUGUCAGAAGUUUGUCAAUUUUAUCAAUUUGUUCCAAGAACCAGCUCAUUGAUUUGGUUUCAGUUUCAUUGAUUUCUACUUUUAUCUUUAUUAUUUCCUUCUUUUUCUUGCUUUUGGUAUAUUUUGUGCUUCUUUUUCUAGGUUCUAGAGGUGGAAGCAUACGUUAUUGAUUUGAGACCUUUCCUCUUUUCUAAUGUGAGCAUUUUAGUUACAUUUAGUUCCCUCCUAGGACUACUUUAAUUGGAUUAUUGAGAGGUGUUGAAGUCUCCAACUGUAUUUGUGGAUUUAUUUAUUUUUCCUUUCAGUUCUAUUAGUUUUAGCUUCACAUUAUUUUGCAGCUCUGAUGUUUAAAGGUGCAUGAACAUUUAGGCUCACUAUGUCUCAGUGAAUUGACCCUUUUAUCAUUACGUAAUAUUCCUCUCAGUCUCUGGUCAUUUUCUUUGUGCUGAAAUAUACUUUAUCUGAUAAUAUAAUGACUGUUCCCUGUAGAUUAAUAUUUUCAGGAUGUAUCAUUUUUAUUUUUUUAUUUUCAACCUGCCUGUAAUCAUUAUAUUUGCAGUGAAUUUUUUCUAGACAC
rnacentral:lncRNA from 1 species